rnacentral:rRNA from 2 species
GGUCAAGUGAAGAAGCGCAUACGGUGGAUGCCUUGGCAGUCAGAGGCGAUGAAAGACGUGGUAGCCUGCGAAAAGCUUCGGGGAGUUGGCAAACAGACUUUGAUCCGGAGAUGUCUGAAUGGGGGAACCCAGCCAUCAUAAGAUGGUUAUCUUACGCUGAAUACAUAGGCGUAAGAGGCGAACCAGGGGAACUGAAACAUCUAAGUACCCUGAGGAAAAGAAAUCAACCGAGAUUCCCUUAGUAGUGGCGAGCGAACGGGGACUAGCCCUUAAGUGGCUUUGAGAUUAGCGGAACGCUCUGGAAAGUGCGGCCAUAGUGGGUGAUAGCCCUGUACGCGAAAAUCUCUUAGUCAUGAAAUCGAGUAGGACGGAGCACGAGAAACUUUGUCUGAAUAUGGGGGGACCAUCCUCCAAGGCUAAAUACUACUGACUGACCGAUAGUGAACUAGUACCGUGAGGGAAAGGCGAAAAGAACCCCGGAGAGGGGAGUGAAAUAGAUCCUGAAACCGUAUGCGUACAAGCAGUGGGAGCCCACUUUGUUGGGUGACUGCGUACCUUUUGUAUAAUGGGUCAGCGACUUAUUUUCAGUGGCGAGCUUAACCGAAUAGGGGAGGCGUAGCGAAAGCGAGUCUUAAUAGGGCGUCUAGUCGCUGGGAAUAGACCCGAAACCGGGCGAUCUAUCCAUGGGCAGGUUGAAGGUUGGGUAACACUAACUGGAGGACCGAACCGACUACCGUUGAAAAGUUAGCGGAUGACCUGUGGAUCGGAGUGAAAGGCUAAUCAAGCUCGGAGAUAGCUGGUUCUCCUCGAAAGCUAUUUAGGUAGCGCCUCAUGUAUCACUGUAGGGGGUAGAGCACUGUUUCGGCUAGGGGGUCAUCCCGACUUACCAAACCGAUGCAAACUCCGAAUACCUACAAGUGCCGAGCAUGGGAGACACACGGCGGGUGCUAACGUCCGUCGUGAAAAGGGAAACAACCCAGACCGUCAGCUAAGGUCCCAAAGUUAUGGUUAAGUGGGAAACGAUGUGGGAAGGCUUAGACAGCUAGGAGGUUGGCUUAGAAGCAGCCACCCUUUAAAGAAAGCGUAAUAGCUCACUAGUCGAGUCGGCCUGCGCGGAAGAUGUAACGGGGCUCAAACCAUACACCGAAGCUACGGGUAUCACGUAAGUGAUGCGGUAGAGGAGCGUUCUGUAAGCCUGUGAAGGUGAGUUGAGAAGCUUGCUGGAGGUAUCAGAAGUGCGAAUGCUGACAUGAGUAACGACAAUGGGUGUGAAAAACACCCACGCCGAAAGACCAAGGUUUCCUGCGCAACGUUAAUCGACGCAGGGUUAGUCGGUCCCUAAGGCGAGGCUGAAAAGCGUAGUCGAUGGAAAACAGGUUAAUAUUCCUGUACUUCUGGUUAUUGCGAUGGAGGGACGGAGAAGGCUAGGCCAGCUUGGCGUUGGUUGUCCAAGUUUAAGGUGGUAGGCUGAGAUCUUAGGUAAAUCCGGGAUCUUAAGGCCGAGAGCUGAUGACGAGUGUUCUUUUAGAACACGAAGUGGUUGAUGCCAUGCUUCCAAGAAAAGCUUCUAAGCUUCAGGUAACCAGGAACCGUACCCCAAACCGACACAGGUGGUUGGGUAGAGAAUACCAAGGCGCUUGAGAGAACUCGGGUGAAGGAACUAGGCAAAAUGGCACCGUAACUUCGGGAGAAGGUGCGCCGGUGAGGGUGAAGGACUUGCUCCGUAAGCUCAUGCCGGUCGAAGAUACCAGGCCGCUGCGACUGUUUAUUAAAAACACAGCACUCUGCAAACACGAAAGUGGACGUAUAGGGUGUGACGCCUGCCCGGUGCCGGAAGGUUAAUUGAUGGGGUUAGCUAACGCGAAGCUCUUGAUCGAAGCCCCGGUAAACGGCGGCCGUAACUAUAACGGUCCUAAGGUAGCGAAAUUCCUUGUCGGGUAAGUUCCGACCUGCACGAAUGGCGUAACGAUGGCGGCGCUGUCUCCACCCGAGACUCAGUGAAAUUGAAAUCGCUGUGAAGAUGCAGUGUAUCCGCGGCUAGACGGAAAGACCCCGUGAACCUUUACUAUAGCUUUGCACUGGACUUUGAAUUUGCUUGUGUAGGAUAGGUGGGAGGCUUUGAAGCGUGGACGCCAGUCUGCGUGGAGCCAACCUUGAAAUACCACCCUGGCAACUUUGAGGUUCUAACUCAGGUCCGUUAUCCGGAUCGAGGACAGUGUAUGGUGGGUAGUUUGACUGGGGCGGUCUCCUCCUAAAGAGUAACGGAGGAGUACGAAGGUGCGCUCAGACCGGUCGGAAAUCGGUCGUAGAGUAUAAAGGCAAAAGCGCGCUUGACUGCGAGACAGACACGUCGAGCAGGUACGAAAGUAGGUCUUAGUGAUCCGGUGGUUCUGUAUGGAAGGGCCAUCGCUCAACGGAUAAAAGGUACUCCGGGGAUAACAGGCUGAUACCGCCCAAGAGUUCAUAUCGACGGCGGUGUUUGGCACCUCGAUGUCGGCUCAUCACAUCCUGGGGCUGAAGCCGGUCCCAAGGGUAUGGCUGUUCGCCAUUUAAAGUGGUACGCGAGCUGGGUUUAGAACGUCGUGAGACAGUUCGGUCCCUAUCUGCCGUGGACGUUUGAGAUUUGAGAGGGGCUGCUCCUAGUACGAGAGGACCGGAGUGGACGAACCUCUGGUGUUCCGGUUGUCACGCCAGUGGCAUUGCCGGGUAGCUAUGUUCGGAAUAGAUAACCGCUGAAAGCAUCUAAGCGGGAAACUAGCCUCAAGAUGAGAUCUCACUGGAACCUUGAGUUCCCUGAAGGGCCGUCGAAGACUACGACGUUGAUAGGUUGGGUGUGUAAGCGCUGUGAGGCGUUGAGCUAACCAAUACUAAUUGCCCGUGAGGCUUGACCAU